CAUUCGCUGUAAUUAUGCCAGCAUACGUACGCGAACUAGGGUUGGGGCACUUAGAUUUUUGUAUAAUAGGUCCCAAGGUGUGAGGUGAGCCAGAAACGACGCUCUGUAUACUACUCAUGCAAUGGGUCUAUAGCCACCCAACGUACGUAAGCUGGAUAAUAAAGAUGUUUAAAAAAGGUUUUUGUUAAAUAAAUACUUGGUGUAAGCUUGGCAACUCGAUGGAGCACAUGGCUUGCCGAUUUUGAAAUGUUUAUUAUCUCGAGUGAAAUUAAAGAUAAAAA